GUAAACUCUCUUUUCUAACCUGUCUCCCUCUUAAGAGCAAUUUGAUAUUGGGACAACAUAAGUAAUUUCAAACGGCUUAGCUUGGAUAAAUGGUUCUACUUGAGCCAAAGCUACAAAAACAUGUAUGGCUUUAACAGUUUAACCUAACCCAAAUCAUCUUCAUCUACCUUUGAACUAUGCACCAAAAGAGUUUGCCCAAGCCAAGGUCGAGUUCAGUUUUCCGAUCUUCUCGAUGAGCUCUGUGACAACUUCUUUAAUGGUUCUCUCCUUUAGGAUAUGGAAAAUAAAUAAUGAAGAUACUUAAAUAUUAACUAUUGAAGAGGG